AAUUCAAGAUGAGAUUUGGGUGGAGACACAGCCAAACCAUAUCAUUGACUGACUUAAAUUCAACAGAACUGUGCUUUGGAGGACAUCGUUGCGCUGCUGACUUCUAACACUGAGGCUGGAGUGCAAUGACAUGAUGUUGGCUCACCGCAACCUCCGCCUCCCAGGUUCAAGUGAUUCUCCUGCCUCAGCCUCCCGAGUAGCUGGGAUUACGGAGAGAAGGGAGAUUGUGAAAGGUACAAGAGGCAGGGGAGCAGCCCACUGAGCUACCCCAGGAAUUUCCCUGACAAUCAGUUUUAAGGAGGACAUGCAGAAGUUGAAGAUGUGGAACACACAUCCCAUCUAAGGGGUGACAUCCUUCAGUUUGUGGACAGCUGGUCUAAUUCACUGGAGGAGGAACACAGCUCCCCUGGGGCCAUGCUCUGGCCACAGAACAGUGUGCAAGAGGUCAUUUAUGUUCAGGUGAUCCUGCCUUAUCCUGGAGAAAGAAAUGUUAUGCAAGAGGCCAAGAAGAAGCUAAACAAACAAGCCAUGAUGGAUUCCCAUCUCAGCUUAUUACCAUUGGGACAUGUCCUUUUUGUCCAAUCACAUUUCUACAUGGCAGUACAGUCUUCAUCAAACCUAAGCAUUAAAAAAAAAGUUUUCUCUGGGUCUUUGGGUCUUUUGUUUCGGAAGGCUCCUGUAU
rnacentral:lncRNA from 1 species